AUACGGAGGAUGCGAGCGUUAUCCGGAUUUAUUGGGUUUAAAGGGAGCGUAGGCGGCCCGACAAGUCAGCGGUAAAAGACUGCAGCUAAACUGUAGCGCGCCGUUGAAACUGCCGGGCUAGAGUGCAGACGAGGUUGGCGGAACAGGUGAAGUAGCGGGGAAAUGCAUAGAUAUCACCUGGAACCCCGACAGCGAAGGCAGCUGACCAGGCUGUAACUGACGCUGAUGCUCGAGAGCGUGGGUAGCGAACAGGAUUAGAUACCCUGGUAGUCCACGCCGUAAACGAUGCUCACUGGCCCUGGGCGACAUACAGUCCGGGGUCGAGCGAAAGUAAAAGUGAGCCACCUGGGGAGUACGUCGGCAACGAUGAAACUCAAAGGAAUUGACGGGG
rnacentral:rRNA from 1 species